rnacentral:lncRNA from 1 species
AAAUACUUCCUGUGAACGUUUAUCACAAAGAUAACCAGUACAAAGUUAUUCGCAUGUAUGCCAUCAUUGAUGACCAAAGCAACCGGUCACUAGAAUCACCUGAAUUCUUCAAUCUGUUCGACGUAAAAGAUAAACCGGAGAACUAUACUUUAUCAACAUGCUCCGGCAAAGUAGUCACUUCCGGGAAAAGAGGAAGAGGUUUCAUCAUGGAAUCAAUUACUGGUAGUGACAGAUUUGAC